CCUACGGGAGACAGCAGUGAGGAAUAUUGGUCAAUGGGCGGGAGCCUGAACCAGCCAAGUCGCGUGAGGGAAGACGGUACUAUGGAUUGUAAACCUCUUUAGGCGGGGAGCAAUGCCGGGCACGCGUGCCAGGAGGGAGAGUACCCGCAGAAUAAGCAUCGGCUAACCCCGUCCCAGCAGCCGCGGUAAUACGGAGGAUGCGAGCGUUAUCCGGAUUUAUUGGGUUUAAGGGGUGCGUAGGCGGAUGUUUAAGUCAGCGGUAAAAUGUCCGGGCUCAACCCGGGCCGGCCGUUGAAACUGGGGAUCUUGAGUGGGCGAGAAGUAUGCGGAAUGCGUGGUGUAGCGGUGAAAUGCAUAGAUAUCGCGCAGAACUCCGAUUGCGAAGGCAGCAUGCCGGCGCCCGACUGACGCUGAGGCACGAAAGCGUGGGGAUCGAACAGGAUUAGAUACCCCUGUAGUC
rnacentral:rRNA from 1 species